UACCCGACCGAAAUGCAACUGGUAUACGACCGAAAAAGUUGCAACCGGGGCAUCCGAACACAUCCUUUGCACACAUAAUAAUAGUUAGCACUCAGAGUUUUUGCAAUUGGUAUGGCAACCAGAGUUGCAACUGGUGGGUUGUAGUACAUGAAGAUUCAUUCAGAUUCAGUUGCAACCUUUUUUGUCAUUAGAAAGAAAACAAAAUAAACAAUAAUAUUAUUAUGGGGGAACAUGUAGCUACACGCAUUUAAGUACAUGCAGAUUCAUUCAGAUUCAUAGUCGUUGCCAUCACUAUUUUCUUGGUAAUUAACACAGCCAGAUGUCUCAUCCUCCCCACUCUGCCUCCCCUCUUGUUCUUCAUUCAGUCCCCUCUGUAUUUUUGGCCGACCUCUCUUUCUCAGAGUCCCACCUUGUGUUUUGGCACCCCUCUUUUUC
rnacentral:lncRNA from 1 species